AUUUAUACAGUGAAACUGCGAAUGGCUCAUUAAAUCAGUUAUCGUUUAUUUGAUAGUACCUUACUACUUGGAUAACCGUGGUAAUUCUAGAGCUAAUACAUGCUAAAAAUCCCGACUUUUUGGAAGGGAUGUAUUUAUUAGAUAAAAGACCAAUGCUUCUUCGGAAGUUCUUUGGUGAUUCAUGAUAACUUUUCGAAUCGCAUGGCCUCGAGCCGGCGAUGGUUCAUUCAAAUUUCUGCCCUAUCAACUUUCGAUGGUAGGAUAGUGGCCUACCAUGGUUUCAACGGGUAACGGGGAAUUAGGGUUCGAUUCCGGAGAGGGAGCCUGAGAAACGGCUACCACAUCCAAGGAAGGCAGCAGGCACGCAAAUUACCCAAUCCCGACACGGGGAGGUAGUGACAAUAAAUAACAAUACAGGGCUUUUUAUGGUCUUGUGAUUGGAAUGAGUACAAUUUAAAUACCUUAACGAGGAACAAUUGGAGGGCAAGUCUGGUGCCAGCAGCCGCGGUAAUUCCAGCUCCAAUAGCGUAUAUUAAAGUUGUUGCAGUUAAAAAGCUCGUAGUUGAACUUUGGGCUUGGUCGGCCGGUCCGCCUCAUUGGUGUGCACUGACCCGACCGAGCCUUUCCUUCUGGAUAACUAUAGUGCUUUUUAUUAAGUGCUAUAGGGAGCCAGGACUUUUACUUUGAAAAAAUUAGAGUGUUCAAAGCAGGCAUACGCUCGAAUAUAUUAGCAUGGAAUAAUAGAAUAGGACGUACGGUUCUAUUUUGUUGGUUCUCUAGGACCGUCGUAAUGAUUAAUAGGGACAGUCGGGGGCAUCAGUAUUCAAUUGUCAGAGGUGAAAUUCUUGGAUUUAUUGAAGACUAACUACUGCGAAAGCAUUUGCCAAGGAUGUUUUCAUUAAUCAAGAACGAAAGUUAGGGGAUCGAAGACGAUCAGAUACCGUCGUAGUCUUAACCAUAAACUAUGCCGACUAGGGAUCGGGCGGUGUUCUUUUUUUGACCCGCUCGGCACCUUACGAGAAAUCAAAGUCUU
rnacentral:rRNA from 1 species